UACGAAGGGGGCUAGCGUUGUUCGGAAUUACUGGGCGUAAAGCGCGCGCAGGCGGUCUUCCAAGUCAGUGGUGAAAGCCCGGAGCUCAACUCCGGAACUGCCAUUGAAACUGUUAGACUUGAGGAUGAGAGAGGUGAGUGGAAUUCCCAGUGUAGAGGUGAAAUUCGUAGAUAUUGGGAAGAACGCCGGUGGCGAAGGCGGCUCACUGGCUCAUUACUGACGCUCAGGCGCGAUAGCGUGGGGAUCAAACAGG
rnacentral:rRNA from 1 species